AUACUGAGGGUGCGAGCGUUAAUCGGAAUUACUGGGCGUAAAGCGCGCGUAGGCGGUAAGUUAAGUUGGAUGUGAAAUCCCUGGGCUCAACCCAGGAACUGCAUUCAAAACUGGCUCACUAGAGUAUGGUAGAGGCAAGUGGAAUUCCAGGUGUAGCGGUGAAAUGCGUAGAUAUCUGGAGGAACAUCAGUGGCGAAGGCGACUUGCUGGGCCAAUACUGACGCUGAGGUGCGAAAGCGUGGGUAGCAAACGGGAUUAGAAACCCUAGUAGUCC
rnacentral:rRNA from 1 species